CUGCAGCCCGAGUGGUGAUCGAUUUUAUUGAGCCUAAAGCGUCCGUAGCCGGGCUAGUAAACCCUUGGGUAAAUUGGGCAGCUUAACUGUCCAAAUUCCGAGGGGACUGCUAGUCUUGGGACCGGGAGAGGUCAGAGGUACUCAAGGGGUAGGGGCUAAAUCCUGUAAUCCUUUGGGGACCACCAGUGGCGAAGGCGUCUGACUAGAACGGAUCCGACGGUAAGGGACGAAACCCUGGGGCGCGAACCGGAUUAGAUACCCGCGUAGUCC
rnacentral:rRNA from 1 species